CCCUAGCCCCGAUUGCAACGACAUCCUUUUUUGCGAUGGCAAAAGAGGCGGGGAAAAAGAUAUAGUGGAAAGCGGGAAACAGC
rnacentral:sRNA from 1 species